AACGUAGGUGGCGAGCGUUAUCCGGAAUUACUGGGCGUAAAGCGUGUGCAGGCGGGCUUGCAAGUGGGGUAUGAAAGCUCCCGGCUCAACCGGGAAGGGUUAUGCCAGACUGCUAGUCUUGAGUGCGAGAGAGGAGCGUGGAAUUCCGGGUGUAGUGGUGAAAUGCGUAGAUAUUGGGAGGAACACCAGUGGCGAAGGCGGCUCGCUGGACCGGAACUGACGCUGAGGCGCGAAAGCGUGGGGAGCAAACAGG
rnacentral:rRNA from 1 species